rnacentral:rRNA from 1 species
CCUACGGGAGGCAGCAGUGGGGAAUAUUGGACAAUGGGGGCAACCCUGAUCCAGCAAUGCCGCGUGUGUGGAGAAGGCCUGCGGGUUGUAAAGCACUUUCAGUAGGGAAGAAAAGCCCGGGACUAACAUUCCCGGGUCUUGACGUUACCUAAAGAAGAAGCACCGGCUAACUCCGUGCCAGCAGCCGCGGUAAUACGGAGGGUGCGAGCGUUAAUCGGAAUUACUGGGCGUAAAGCGCACGUAGGUGGUUGGGUAAGUCGGAUGUGAAAGCCCUGGGCUUAACCUGGGAACUGCAUUCGAUACUGCCCGACUAGAGUAUGGGAGAGGGAAGCGGAAUUUCCGGUGUAGCGGUGAAAUGCGUAGAUAUCGGAAGGAACACCAAUGGCGAAGGCAGCUUCCUGGCCCAAUACUGACACUCAGGUGCGAAAGCGUGGGGAUCAAACAGGAUUAGAUACCCUGGUAGUCCACGCUGUAAACGAUGAGAACUAGAUGUUGGGAGGGUUUUGCCUCUCAGUGUCGCAGCUAACGCGAUAAGUUCUCCGCCUGGGGAGUACGGCCGCAAGGUUGAAACUCAAAGGAAUUGACGG